GCGCUGCCGUAGCGCCUGCCGGGCCCUGGACUCGGCCAUGAUCAUAGAGGACUUCGAGGCGCUGAAGAAGUGGCUUUCAAAGACCUUGGAACCAAUUUGUGAUGCUGACCCAUCAGCUCUUGCAAAAUAUGUUCUUGCUUUAGUUAAAAAGGAUAAAAAUGACAGAGAGUUGAAGGCUUUGUGCAUAGAUCAACUGGAUGUGUUUCUACAAAGAGAAACCCAAGGCUUUGUAGACAAACUGUUUGAAGCGAUCAGCACAAAGAGUUACCUUCCUGAACCAGAAUCUCCAUCAGCUGCUGCAAAGUUAGAGACGUUUGAACCUCAAGAGAAGGAAGCAAAAAAGGAGGAGCUGCCCAAGGAAGAUGAAGCAAAAGACAAGAAAAUUUCAAGAAGGACGAACCACAGUCCUCAGCAAUCAAGUACCCGACACCGAGAAAUUAGGGAAAACAGUCGCAAAAGAAGCAAUUCUGAUCGAGAUAGUUCUUCCAUGCAACACCUCUUCAGAUCAGGAGGGCAGGAACAGAAACAAGAGGUCGAUAUUCCACCGAGUCGUUUGAGUGGAAGCAAAAUUCAAAAUACAAAAAACACCACAAGAAGUAGAGAUGAUCGAAAAAAAGAUGACCGGUCUCGUAAAAGAGAAUAUGACCGGAAUCUACCUCGACGAGAUUCAUACAGAGACAGAUACAACCGGAGACGAGGAAGGAGUCGCAGUUACAGCAGAAGCCGAAGUCGCAGCUGGAGUAAGGAGCGGCAACGCGAUAGAGACAGAGAUAGAAGCCGAUCAAGGAGCAGAACACGGAGCAGAGAUAAAGAGUCCGGCAAACCAAAAUAUGAAGUUGAAAGGACAGAACCCACAGAUAACAAUUAUCCAUCGGGAUCUUCUGUACCCCAAAUUGCAUCAGCACAUUAUCCAGUUCCAACACUAAACAGCACUAUUACAGUUAUAGCACCUUCUCACCAUGGAAGCAGCACAACUGAAAACUGGCCAGAAUUCCAUGAAGAUCAAGUUGACCACAGCACAUAUGGUAGACCUCCAGUACCCAAGAAAAGAUGUAGGGACUAUGACGAGAAAGGAUUUUGUAUGAGGGGAGAUAUGUGCCCAUUUGAUCAUGGUAGUGAUCCAGUUGUAGUGGAAGAUGUUAAUCUUCCAGGUAUCCUGCCAUUCCCAGCACAACCUCCUGGAGUUGAUGUUCCACCACCACUAGGUCUUCCUCCUCCACCCUCCCUCUUAACACCACCACCUGUAAAUCUGCGACCUCCAGUGCCUCCUCCAGGACCACUUCCACCCAGCCUACCACCAGUCACAGGCCCCCCACCUCCACUUCCUCCUUUGCAGCCAUCUGGCAUGGACGCACCUCCUAAUUCUGUGACGAGCUCUGUACCUACUGUUGUCACAACAGGCAUCCACCAUCCACCACCCCCAGUAGCACCACCAUCUCUAUUCUCAUCCGCUAUAACAGUACCCAUUCCCUUGUUUCCCGAAACAUAUGAAACAGAUGGGUACAAUCCAGAAGCGCCAAGCAUGACAAAUACUGGCAGGCCAAUGUAUAGACAUCGCGUGCAUACGCAAAGACCUAAUUUAAUAGGUUUAACAUCUGGAGACAUGGACUCGCCUCCAAGAGAGAAAAUCAUCAGCAACAAUAUGAGGAUUGUGGUAGAUUCUGAAUCCCGUAAAAGAAAUCUUGCAUCAGUGGAAACUGGAAUACCUGCAAAAAAACCCUGGUUUGACAAAUCAAACUUUAACAGAAUGCCCAACACUGGCUUUCAGAAAAAGGUCCAGUUUUCAAAUGAGAACACUAAACUUGAGCUACGACGAAUACCUCCAGAGCUUAACAACAUUAGUAAAUUAAAUGAACAUUUUAGUAAAUUUGGCACAUUGGUAAAUUUGCAGGUUGCUUAUGAUGGUGAUCCUGAAGCUGCUCUCAUUCAGUUUGCAUCCAAUGUAGAAGCAAAGAAGGCAAUAUCUAGCACAGAAGCAGUUUUAAAUAAUCGGUUUAUCAAGAUGUACUGGCAUCGAGCAGGCCAGUCACAACAUAUUCCAGGCCCAGCCACCCCUAAGGUUGGUCAGUUUACAGUACAGCCACACAAUUUGCCAGUUAUGAAGCAGUCUGUAAAAGAACGACUAGGACCUGUCCCUUCAACCAACAUGGAACCAGCCGAGGCCCAAAGUGCUAAUGCAGAGAGUGUUCAGAAUGUAACCAAAGUAUCAAUAAAAGACAGGUUGGGGUUUAUCGAGAAACACACUUCUACUGCCACAGAAAAGGUGCUGUCCACCUCCACUGGUCUUACAAAAACCGUUUACAAUCCAGCAGCUUUAAAAGCCAUGCAGAAAUCCAUGUCCUACCCAACAUCAAUGGACAACAGUGAGGCACUGAAAAAGAAACAGGAAGCAAUGAAACUUCAACAAGAUGUACGGAAAAAGAAACAGGAGAUAUUGGAGAAGCACAUAGAGACACAGAAGAUUCUUAUAUCAAAAAUAGAGAAAAAUAAGAACAUGAAGUCAGAAGACAAAGCAGAAAUCUUGAAGACUUUAGAGACUUUAACCAAUAGCAUUACAAAAUUAAGAGAUGAACUGAAAGCAGGCUCAUCCACUGGAAAUGUCAUGCGAAUUAAUAAAAGCAGAGCUCAGACACAAAAGGAACUAUUAGACACAGAGCUAGACCUGUACAAGAAAAUCCAGGCUGGGGAAGAUGUAGCAGAACUACGAAGGAAAUACACAGAAUUGCAACUUGAAGCAGCAAAGCGUGGAAUUCUAUCUUCUGGUCGUGGUCGAGGAGCCCACCCUAGAGGAAGGGGUAUAUCACGUGGCAGAGGUCGGGGAUCACGUGGUAGGGGGAGAGGUGUCCCGCAUCAUGCUGUGGUCGAUCACCGGCCGAGAGCUUUAGAAAUAACUGGAUUUACUGAGAGUGACAGAGAGGACCUGCUUCCUCAUUUUGCGCAAUUUGGUGAAAUUGAAGACUACCGGAUAGAUGAUUCUUCUCUUCAUGCAAUAAUUACUUUCAGGACCAGAGUUGAAGCAGAGGCCGCUGCAAUUCACGGAAAGCAUUUUAAAGGACAAGACUUAAAAUUAGCUUGGAAUAAACCAGUUCAAAAUACAUCUAGCAUGGAGGCUGAAGAUGCUGAACAGGAGGAGGAAGAUUUUCAGGAAGACUCCAUUGUGGACGACUCAUUGCUUCAGGAUGAUGACGAAGAGGAAGAAGAUAACGAGUCACGAUCUUGGAGAAGAUGAUUUCAUUCAGACUGACCGGAAAAUGCCUAGAAAUCAAUUUAAGAUCACCUCAUGCACUUUUCCAUAAAAUGUAUUCCUACAUUUAUGUGAGAAAAGGUGUACUGGACACUUUGAAAAGCAGACUUGAAAGUUUUCUGUUUUUGUUACAUUUCAGUAAAUGAUCGCACAACGCAUCAUACUAUACACAUAUGCAAUGUUUUAUUAUGCACACUUUGCUGGGUGUACAAUUCUCUGGAUCUUGUCGAAUGCAAAUGAACAAUGUGUUUCUUAUAACAGAAUGAAAGUUUGCUUUAAAAAUCUAUGAAUGUUUUCAGUCAUGGGUUGAUUGAACUGCUGAACUGAGGUCUCACAUAUUAUGUAUACAUAAUACAUAGUGUUAUGAGUAGGCUUUACUAUGUAGUAGCCUUUUUGUUCAAUUUAUUUUGUGAACGUAUUUUACCUUUGGAUUUUAAUAACAUUGUAUAACUGCUUUGCAAGCAAGUCCUUGUGACUUUAACGUGUUGAAAAAAAAAUAAAGAAAUGGAAUGGUCCAAAAAAACAAAAAAAACACAAAAAAAAAAUCUAUAAGCAAUAACGACAAUAGAGCUUUGUUCGUAGUUGACAAAAGUGGGUUGGAAAAAAAACGAGAAAUUGAAAAGAAACAAACCAAAAAAAAAUAACCAUUCCAAUGGAUUCAGCUUACUUACCCACACACAUUCAAGAAAAUAUACAAACUGUUUUGUGGUGUCACUGUAAACCAUAAACUUUAUACAUCAAACAAAAUAUGUGCAAUUAGUUUUUGGAAAGUGCAUUCACUUAAUAAGGUGACUUAAAAUUGCUCUUCGAAAGGCAUCUCCGUAUGUGUAAACUGAAUUUUGAAUUCAAAGAAAACACUUGUCCCUGCUAGUUAUAUUGGACCAUCAUUGUUCAAAGAUCUAAGAAACUCUACAGGCAUUGCACUACUACGCAUGCAAUUUUAAUCUAAUUGACAAGAUACCGCAAGGAUGUCUUCUAUGCGAGGAAGGAUGCACUAUCAAUCUCAGAAACCUGAGUUUCAACCUGGAAGGUUUUUUUUUUUUUUUUAAAUUAAAUUAAUUUAUUUCGCAUUUACUCGGAAAUUAUUACACUCUAACUAAUCAGCAGAAAAACUUUAGAAGGAUUUUAUUUUUUUUGUGUAGGGUAUAUUAUUUAACUAGUCUUAUUUUAUUUAUAUAGCUAUAUCUUGGCAAAUACCUUAAUAUUUUUAUUAGAAGAAUUGUGUGCCUUAUAUUUCCUCCUUUAUUUUUAUUUCAUAUGGAGGAUUUUUCUAGCUUGCGUUAGUCCAGUUAGUUACUGGAUUAUUAGAAUUUCAAUGGUUCUCCGUAGUAACAUUUACAGAAAAAUACACCAGUCUUCUAGCUAAUAUUAUUCUAUCACCAAAAAUCAGUUAAAGGGGCACUCAAAACUAGUAAUGACCCCCUAUUUUCAAACUUGUGUAGAUCCUUUUUUUUUUUU